rnacentral:misc_RNA from 1 species
AUAGAACCAAGACGACCAGCC